rnacentral:rRNA from 1 species
GCGAACGCUGGCGGCAGGCUUAACACAUGCAAGUCGAGCGGGCAUCCUUGUGGUGUCAGCGGCAGACGGGUGCGUAACGCGUGGGAACGUGCCCUUCGGUUCGGAAUAACUCAGGGAAACUUGAGCUAAUACCGGAUACGUGCGAGAGCAGAAAGGUUUAUCUGCCGAAGGAUCGGCCCGCGUCUGAUUAGCUAGUUGGUGAGGUUACGGCUCACCAAGGCGACGUUCAGUAGCUGGUCUGAGAGGAUGAUCAGCCACACUGGGACUGAGACACGGCCCAGACUCCUACGGGAGGCAGCAGUGGGGAAUAUUGGACAAUGGGGGCAACCCUGAUCCAGCCAUGCCGCGUGAGUGAUGACGGCCUUAGGGUUGUAAAGCUCUUUUCUCCGGGACGAUAAUGACGGUACCGGAGGAAUAAGCCCCGGCUAACUUCGUG